CCCUUCCGCCCCCCUCCCGCUCAGUCUCCACCCCCUGGGAACGCGCGGAGUGGGUGACAGACCUGGCCGCGCGCCACCGCCACCGCGCCUGCCUUGGGCGCUGGCGCUGCCUGAGAAAGAAGCCGCGGCUGCCGCCUGGAGGAGGUGCCGUCGCCGCCGCCACCGUUGCCGCCGCCGCCAGGGAAUUGCAGAAAGAGGGCCUCAAUUCAUCUUUUCAGUUAUAAGAUGCUCAAUGCCAUCAACAUCCCAUCAUUCAAAUUAGCAAGUCUAAAACAACCCAAAGAAGGCCAAAGGACCAGCCUGGUAUGGGCCAUGCUUUCUUGUUGCUUGCAUUCCUUGGAGUGUGAGGAUGGCAUUAGGGGGACUGACUUCUAAGAAUGGAGAAGGAAGAGUUCAGACAAUAUGAGCAAUUAUAGCUGUUGUGGCAGCUAAGAUCCUUGGUCACCUGCCCUUCCUAAGUCUGACUCGCUGCAGAGAACUGGAGGACUGUGAAAGGACUUCAUUGAGCAAACAUUCA